rnacentral:rRNA from 1 species
UACGUAGGGUGCGAGCGUUAAUCGGAUUUACUGGGCGUAAAGCGUGCGCAGGCGGCCCGUUAAGACAGGUGUGAAAUCCCUGGGCUCAACCUAGGAAUUGCGCUUGUGACUGGCGGGCUCGAGUACGGUAGAGGGGGGUGGAAUUCCUGGUGUAGCAGUGAAAUGCGUAGAGAUCAGGAGGAACACCGAUGGCGAAGGCAGCCCACUGGGCCUGUACUGACGCUCAUGCACGAAAGCGUGGGGAGCAAACAGG